GUUGCUGAACCCUCGUUUCCUUAGAGCAUUGACUUGAGAAAACUUGCGAUUAUAAAUUCCUUCUGUAUCCCUUUGAGAUAUACAAAGAGAGAGAGAGAUUUCUAUAAGAAAAGAAAAGAAGAUUUCUAUAAACUGAAAUGAUCUGAGAAUGGUUCAUCACAAAGGGCUGAAGAGACAACAGGAGCAGGUCACAGAACAAGAGUAAAAGAAGCUGUGCGUUCAGCAGGAGCUAGAACUCUGGAUAGAAAGGUAUCCAACAGGAUCUGGAAUCUUGGAGAAGCCGCAACCACACAUAGAGGUGCUUUCUGAAAUAGCAACUCCAUCUAGCAAUUCAAUUGGCCAAAUCAACUUGGAAGAGUCAGCUUGGCAAUUGAGCCUAUGAAAUACAACUGCAGUAUCCAGCCUAUCUGAGAUACAGAAUAAAGAAAUACUGAGGAGUAUAUCUGAGAGAAAAGAGACAAAUGACCUGAUCAGUUCACAUUUUAAAAAUCUUUCUGUAUCCAUUUCACCACUGUACUUUAACUCCCAAACGAUACAUCAUUCUUUGCCUAAUUUGAUGCAACUAUAUUUCAUGACACACAACUACUCUUCCUCUUUCCCCAAAGUCUCAUCAGUUACUGCAUUAAUUUCAAUAGUCCUCAAUCUCCAGGUGAUAUGAAGGCUUCCCCGUCAGAGCCACGUGUAGCUUCUUGUGGUCUUGUGACAUAUGGACUAAACUAUAAAUUUAAACAUCACUCAUACUCUUCACACAACAAAACAGGACAAAAGGAAGAUGGAAGAAUAUAAUUCAUUACUAUACACAGGUUAAUGUAUACAGGUCUAUAGAAUCCCUUUCUCUCUCUUUCACACACACACACACAAAUAUGUAAAACUGCAGCAUUCCUCAUUUCCUCAUUUGUAUAAGUGGCUUUAAGGCUGUAGUGUUUUUGUCACUUCCUUUUCCUACCACUCAUUACAAGCCUCCUGUGCCCUAAGCCAGCACCUCAGUUGAUCACUUUUGUUUUUAAGCUCAUGAGAGUUAAAUUCAUUCUUAAAGGUCUACGUAUUUAGUAACCCGGGUUUUAUUGAAUUGAUGUACUUUUUACUCAGUGUUUGCUCCUGGACAUGACAGUAAUCAGGAGAGCCCCAGUGAAUCCUCUGGGUUGCACCUGUAGACCCCCAAUUGCAUUAGAGUAACAGCAACCCAAUUUCUCACUGAUAAUUGGAAUUAGUCAUCCCAACCAGGACGGACUGUGUUUUCAGCCUAUUGAACACCAGAGAAAUAGUGUAAAUACCUGAGAAAUGUAGGCUUGCGGUAAGAAUUUAUGGAAUCAUUCAAAAAACAAUGAAAGUUUCUAGCAAUGUGUGGGAGACUUUUGUUAGAACUGCUGUUGCUUAAGUGUGCAUAAUGACUCUGACAUUUAGAAUUAACCUUGAAAUUUCCUGAC
rnacentral:lncRNA from 1 species